rnacentral:rRNA from 1 species
UACGUAGGGGGCAAGCGUUGUCCGGAAUCAUUGGGCGUAAAGAGCGUGUAGGCGGCCCGGUAAGUCCGCUGUGAAAGUCCAGGGCUCAACCCUGGGAUGCCGGUGGAUACUGUCGGGCUCGAGUCCGGAAGAGGAGUGUGGAAUUCCACGUGUAGCGGUGAAAUGCGUAGAGAUGUGGAGGAACACCGAUGGCGAAGGCAGCCUCCUGGGCCAACACUGACGCUCAUGCACGAAAGCGUGGGGAGCAAACAGG